rnacentral:lncRNA from 10 species
CACAGUGUGCACCUGUAGAUGGUCAGCCCAGUUCUUUCAGCUGCACCACCAGAGACACCCUUACUGACAGAAUAGCCUCUUCCCUCUGUGCAAAAUUUCUCUCUGUGCACAUUUUGAUGAUCUCCCCACCUCCCUCAUUUGAUUUCGGCUGUGCUUGUUGUUAUAAUUGUUUUACAAGUGUAUGUACAAACAGUGUGCUACCUCUUUAAAAUUUUCUAAAUACCUUGGGAACUCAAGCUUUCGGAGGAGGCUUCUCCAGCCACCUGUGGCUGCAAAACUGUGUGUGAAAACUUGGAGACUGUCAGGAGUGGAAGGGUGAUGUGUCCUGGCUCCCCGCCGUUCUAGAAUGAUAGGACAUUGCAAUAGCAGCAAAUUUGGAAAUCGUGUCUGACUUGGAUACUUUACUGAUGCAGAAACUGGAGUGUGGAGAAGAUUAGUGAUCUCACGUUCACCAGAAUUUGCCUUAUUGUGUGAUUUAGAGCUCAUCUGCAGUAUCUCCAAGGUCCUAGCCUGAGUCCUUCCUUGCUCAAUGAGGAGUCUAAAGACCUUUCACGGCUUUGGAGUUAAGAGGGUGAAAGAUACAUCAAAGAAAACCAACAAUAUGAAGAGAUAAGAAUGAGGAAUGCCUGUUGGAUUUGGAACCUCCAAAGGACCCAAAAGCAAGAGAAUAUAAGAGGCCUCCUCAUCACAAAUAAAAGAGCUGAGAGAAAAUGUUUCAAGAUGCUUCACUGGAAAAACUCACCAGGUGCCUGUAACUAAUUUCUCUAAUUGGCAUUCUCACUCUCACAUUCAAAACUUUCACAAUGAACAUACAACACAAUCAAUGAUUACCAGCCAGUAGGGAAGUGGGUCUUAAGUAAUCAAAUAAGAAACUGAGAACAUGCUUUAAAUAGAAAAGAAAGAGAGAAAACACAAAAAUAACUCGUAGUAUUUCCAAAGAAACAAGAGGUGAUCAAAUAUCCACAAAACAAGAACCUUAGCCAAAGCAAAUAAGCAGAAUAAGAAAAAUUUCUUAGAAAUUAAAACAUGGCAUGUCAGAAUCACUUAAGUGCCUAAGUGACAAUAUAUGUUAAAGCCCAAAAUACAGUUAAACAAUAUAUUAUUCAUCUGUGGAAAGAUUUAUGAGCAAAGAAUAUAUAAAGAACUAAUAUGUUGAGUUACAGAUUAGCAUCCCAAGUGCAAUUAACUAUUGUUUUAAUUUAGAAACAUAAUUACAACGCAAAAGGUAAUAUUUUAGUUCUUAGAAAUGUAAUAGGCAAAAGAUGAAAAAGAUACAUACACAUGCAUUAGGCUAUGUAGAUGCUUUAACAUUUCCCUUUCAGAGUAAAAUUCAAGAGAAUUUAAACAAUGAAAUCCACCAAAUGGCCAUUUAAAUAAUUGUGGAAAAAAUUUUAUAUGCCUGCUCAUAUUACAAUUGAAAUUAUCUUGGAAAUUGUUUUCAAAUGAAGAAGACAUUAUUAUUUUUAGAACCUUUUAUUCUAUUUUAUCAAAUGUCACUUAUACUGGUCUUUCAUUAUUCUUCAGGUUAGACACUAUUCAAGGGUAUUAAUGUUGAGGAAAUGGACCCAUUUUUCUUUUACUUACAUGUUAUUUAGAAAUUUGAAAUAAUUUCUCAUAGAAAAAUAUUCAUGUCAUAUUGUCUAUAAAAAUCACUAAAUGUAACUGCUGUAUUUCAUUAUUUUAAGUAAUAUUAUUGAUAUCAUUGGAUUCUUCAUGAAUUUAAAAUAAACCUUUAUUUAACAUGUUGCUUAAAAGUAACAUUGGGUAACUAACCAUAGACUAAUUUGAUUUAAUGCAGAAAGAGAAAAAUAAAAAUAAAACUUUGAAAUUUGAGAAAUGUAAAUGAUUGAUUUUGUAUCAUUUCAGUUUUGUAUCAUACACAUUAAUAAAAGUUUAAUAUUCUGUGCCAUGAAA